rnacentral:misc_RNA from 1 species
GAUACCUGGUACGCCUGUGUGUGUGUGUGUGCACUGUGCAGACUGAGCCGCUGCCCGACGGUAGGUUUCACCCAACGAAAAAGACAAAACAGACAGAACACUACACGGCCGUGAAGCUGCGAAACAAAAAUAAAUAAAGAAUCGGUAACGAAGAGGGCGCUGCGCACCAUCGUUGGCAGCCGUCAUCAUGCGCCGUAGCGUCAUUCGUACGCGCAAGGAGUUCCUCGAGCGCAAGCAGCACGAGCGCGUCCAUGAGGCGAUCCACGCACGCAAGGAGCAAUUCCGCAGUGCGGUGGAGACGGCCACCCCGCUGCCUGGGCACCUCAAGAAGGACGCGCUGGCGCUGAAGAAGUUCACUGAACUCGAUGACGCGCAAACCCGCAACCUGACGACGACGGUGGAUGACGAAUACGCCAACGCCGGCCAGGAGGACCCGCACGUGCUCGUCACGACGUCCCGCAACGCGUCGCAGAAGCUGCUGGAGUUUGCGAAGGAGGUGCGGCUCAUCGUGCCGAAUGCCGUGCGCAUGAAUCGCGGUAACCUCAGUGUGCAUCAGCUCAUGGACGCGGCCCGGAAGGAGAACUACACAGAUGUGUUGGUGCUGCAGGAGUCGCAGGGUGUACCGGAUAGUUUGACUGUCUCUCACCUCCCCCUAGGCCCCACCGUGACCUUCACCAUUCACAACCUUGUAGCACGCCACGACAUUGAGGGCGUGGGCACCAUGUCAGAGCAGUAUCCGCAUCUCAUCUUCGAGAACUUCUCCACUAAGCUCGGUAUCCGCAUAAAGGACGUGCUGCGCUACCUCUUCCCCGUGCCCAAGGCGGACGCAUCCCGCGUGCUGACCUUUGACAACGAGAACGACUUUAUUAGCUUCCGUCACCACACCUUCAAGAAGGAAAAAGGCAAGAAGCAGGUGGAGCUGACGGAGGUGGGGCCGCGGUUUGAACUGACCCCGUACCGCAUCGUGCUUGGCACACUCGAGAUGGACGAUGCAGAGACGGAAUGGGUGCUGCAGCCGUACAUGAACACCGCGAAGAAGCGCCGGCUCUUGUAGGCGGGGCACCCUGCAGGUGCGUCAUGAUGAUGAUGGUCGCAUUUAGGUGGCACGGCGGGAGCGGUGAGGGUGGGCGGGAGAUGCUGCAUGUGCCGUCUUCUUUCCAUUCCGCCGAUAAUACGCUUAUCUGCUUGUGUGGACGCUUCUGGGAUUUAUUGCUGCUGCGGUGAUGGCCGAGCUGCCGCUGCGUAAAUUGCCUCGGACAUCGUGUGCGUGUUCUCUCUGUCAGUCUCUCUAUGCGUCAUCUCUUGAGCCCGUCUGCACGCGCGCGAGGCGGGGGAGAGGCGCAGCGCACACGCUCGGGAGUGACGAUGUCACCACCGUUUCCGGCCUUGUCGCGCUCUUGGUAACUUCCUCUUUCGUCAGCUCCCUCCUUGUAAUUCAUGCCUGCUUCCGGAAAGCGGUGUUCUGCGUGCCUGCCUAUGUGUUUGCAUCCUUUGGUCUAGUGAUAGCUGAUCUUCGUUGUACUUUCUUACGCCUCCUUCUCUAACAAACAAACAAACAAACGAAGCCUCGCUUAACACUUCCACUCGCUUGGACGGGUAACGACUGUGCGCGCCUCUUCGUCCUUUCCUUUCUCGCUAUCUCUGUGUCUCUUGUGACCUCUUCUCUCCUACAUCGGCAGCUGCGCUUCCGCGGCGUCGGACCGCUUCACUUGAAGCCUUCUAAUCCUCCCGAACAUCACCUCCUCCGCCGACUCUCCCGCUCGGCGCAUUCGCACCUCCUCUGUGUAGAAGGAGCUCGAUCCGCGAUCAGGUUUCCCGUAACCAAGGCGCAACGCACACGUGGCCACUGCGCGAGCUCAAGCGUGCGCGGCACGGAGGGGAAGUGUCGGGUGGUGGCGGUGGUGGGUGUGGAGGAGCAGGAUAGAUGUCGGCUGUCGAAAAACGGCUAGAAGAACGCUGCGGAUGUGCGAGUGGGAUGGAGGGAGUGUGUGCUGUGCGGUAGAGCACGACGGAGAGGAGGAGGAGGAGGAGAGGGGGCGGCGAGAGACGCGUGCCGGACAUAAGAAGAAAUACCUUCUCAUUAAGAAAACGCAGCCACAUGACACGGAAAACGAAGCGAUGCACUUCUAAAAAGGCCUCGCUCGGCGAUGGAUCACCACCUACACGUGCGCCGUUUUGGCACACUUGCACGCGCACUUUACACCCGUGUCAUGUCCCGGGGCGCGGUUAUCGUGGGAAGGAGCAACUGCG